rnacentral:RNase_P_RNA from 1 species
UAAGAAUUACAGGUCAUUGCUGUUAAAAACUUCGGUUUUUAAGAGAGGAAAGUCCGGACUCCAUAGAGAAUCGUAGCGGGUAAUGCCCGCCCACCGUAAGGUGAGGACAAGUGCAACAGAAAGCAAGUACAGUUCGGCUGUAGUGAAACCAGGUAAACUCUACGAGGAGCAAUCUCAUGUAGGCAAGCGCUUUGAUGUCUUCUCGGCAAAGCUUGCGGGUAGAGAGCUUGAGAUAAUUGGUAACGAUUAUCCUAGAUGAAUAGUGACCCUAGACAGAAUCCGGCUUAUCGUAAUUCUUAGCCU